AGUAUUCAUCAGGAAGUUGCAUCAGAUUCAUUUUGUUUUCUUAUUAAUAGUUCUUGGUUAUUAGUCUUUAUUCUAUUUCUCUUUCUACAUGCUCUGGGAUUAAAUCUCUAUUGUUGGAAUGGAAUUCACUUCUCAUAGAAUUUAGAUCUUAUCUUCCUCCAUCUUCUCUCUGGGUUUAUCAUUAGU
rnacentral:rRNA from 1 species